rnacentral:tRNA from 1 species
GAAGGUCUAGCUCAGGGGUAGAGAGCAUGCUUAGCAUGCAUGAGGUCUUAGGUUCAAUCCCCAGUACUUCCA